GGCUUCGUGGUAUAGUGGUAAUAUACUCGCUUCGGGUGUGAGUGGUCCCGGGUUCGAUCCCCGGCGAAGCCC
rnacentral:tRNA from 2 species